AUUGAACGCUGGCGGCAUGCUUUACACAUGCAAGUCGAACGGCAGCACGGGGGCAACCCUGGUGGCGAGUGGCGAACGGGUGAGUAAUGCAUCGGAACGUACCCUGUCGUGGGGGAUAACUAUCCGAAAGGAUAGCUAAUACCGCAUACGUCCUGAGGGAGAAAGCGGGGGACCGGUAACGGCCUCGCGCGAUUGGAGCGGCCGAUGUGCGAUUAGCUAGUUGGUGGGGUAAAGGCCUACCAAGGCGACUGUGUGUAGCGGGUCUGAGUGGAUGGUCCGGCACGCUGGGACUGGGAGACGGCCCAGAAUCCUAGGGGAGGCAGCAGUGGGGAAGUAUGGACAAUGGGGGCAACCCUGAGCCAGCCAUGCAGCGGGCGGGAAGAAGGCCUUCGGGUUGUAAACCGCUUUCGGACGGAAAGGAAUCGCCAUAGAUAAUACCGAUGGUGGAUGACGGUACCGUAAGAAGAAGCAACGGCUAACUACGUGCCAGCAGCCGCUGUAAAAC
rnacentral:rRNA from 1 species